rnacentral:tRNA from 1 species
GGGUUCGUAGCUCAGGGGUCAGAGCGCUUCGUUGACAUCGAAGAGGCCGGAGGUUCAAUUCCUCCCGGACCCACCA